rnacentral:rRNA from 1 species
CGGAAUUGGUGGAGAUAAGCCUGCAGUGCCUGUAUGAGUGUUGAUACCCCGAAACUGCGAAUGGCUCGGUAAAACAGCAAUAAUUUAGUCGGGGAUAUACUACCGGAUAACCGUAGUAAAGCUAGAGCUAAUACGUUACUAGUACAUCAAACACGAUUGCCUUGUGUAGUCGUGGUGCUAAGUAUUAGGUACAACCCAGUUUUUAACUGGUGAUUCAUACUUAUCGUCUGAUCACACCUCGUGUGUGUGUGACGCCCCGAUUAAAUUUCUGACCUAUCAACUAUGAUGGUAAGGUAGGGUCUUACCAUGGUUGUGACGGGUAACGGACCGUGGGUGCGGGAUUCCGGAGAGGGAGCCUGAGAAACGGCUACCACAUCCAAGGAAGGCAGCAGGCGCGCAACUUACCCAAUCCGAACUUCGGGAGGUAGUGACAAUAAAUAUCAAUAGGGGGACCAAUGGUCUUCCUAAUUGGAAUGAAAGCAAUGUAAACACCUCAUUGAGGAACCAGCAGAGGGCAAGUCUGGUGCCAGCAGCCGCGGUAAUUCCAGCUCUGUAAGCGUAUACCAAAGUUGUUGCAGUUAAAACGCUCGUAGUCGAAUUUUGACGUUAUGCUACUUUAGACCCCUGAUGGGUGUUUGGAGUUUAUGCUGCGUCUUUGUGGAUUUUGAGAUGCUUGGUGAUGCUUAGUUGUAUUGCUGCAUUUUUGCCACUGUUUACUGUGAAAAAAUUAGAGUGCUUAAAGCGAGCGAUUUGCCAUGAAUAGAUUAGCAUGGAAUAAUAGAAUAGGACCUGGUUUCUGUUUCUAUUGUUUUGUCAGUUUCAGGUAAUGAUUAAGAGGGACGGUCGGGGGCAUUUGUAUUCCAGGGUUAGAGGUGAAAUUCUUAGAUCCUUGAAGACACACAGCUGCGAAAGCGUCUGCCAAGGACGUUUUCAUUGAUCAGAACGAAAGUAGGGGAUCGAAGACGAUCAGAUACCGUCGUAUUCUCUAUAUAACUUAUGAGUACUAGAAAUGAACGUGCCUAUUUUGGUACGUUCAGCGCCUCGAGGAACCAAGUUUGGCUUCUGGGGGAUAUGGUUCGCAGUUGACCUUAUGGAAUUGCACGGA